rnacentral:rRNA from 1 species
CUACGGGCGGCAGCAGUGGGGAAUAUUGGACAAUGGGCGAAAGCCUGAUCCAGCCAUGCCGCGUGUGUGAAGAAGGCCUUCGGGUUGUAAAGCACUUUCAGUGGGGAAGAAAGCCUUGGGGCUAAUACCCUCGAGGAAGGACAUCACCCACAGAAGAAGCACCGGCUAACUCCGUGCCAGCAGCCGCGGUAAUACGGAGGGUGCGAGCGUUAAUCGGAAUUACUGGGCGUAAAGCGCGCGUAGGCGGUCUGAUAAGCCGGUUGUGAAAGCCCCGGGCUCAACCUGGGAACGGCAUCCGGAACUGUCAGGCUAGAGUGCAGGAGAGGAAGGUAGAAUUCCCGGUGUAGCGGUGAAAUGCGUAGAGAUCGGGAGGAAUACCAGUGGCGAAGGCGGCCUUCUGGACUGACACUGACGCUGAGGUGCGAAAGCGUGGGUCGCAAACAGGAUUAGAUACCCUAGUAGUC